CAGAAGGUGUCGUAAAUGAUAUUCUAUGGCAGUUUCGUAAUCUCGUAACAAAGUGUAAGUGUUGCCCAGACUAUAGCAGGCUUGAGCUUCUACUGCAUGAUCACCUAGCUCUUGUGCGAGAGCCAACGUUCGUCUAAAAUGUUAAUAUUAAUUAAACGGUUGAAAGAACUGUUUGAAUUAAUGUGAAAGAAGAUGAGCAAAUCAAUUCGUCAGCGUUCUGGGCAAUCGAUUCGUUAGAAACCUGACUUCAUAUUAUACAAGUCGUGAAGCGCCAAGAAAUAUGACUAUUACAAUUUUUAUUGUUUUCACUACCAUUCAUCACUACGUUGUACAUAGUGUACAUUCUAUGUUUCGCGAAUCCUAUGUUCUGAUGAUGAUACUAGUAAGUUUGUAUGGAAAUGGUUUGUAUCUAAACAAGUUAGCAAUCUAAAUAAACUCUGAAUACUGU